UCCUGAUUUAAGACCCUUUCUUUCCUAUCUUACACAAAAGACCCCAAAUUUUUAAUUUUCUUCAUUCUCCUCGUCUCCUCUCCAAGCCCGCUGCCCAGGCCUUUUUUUCCUUCUUCUCCUUCCUUGGUCCUCCUUUGCAGCCUGGAGAAAGAGUAGUGAAAAACAAUGGCGAGCUUCGAAAGACGCGCGAAUACCAUCAGCUAAUCUGCAUCGCUGGCACCAGCUCCAAUCAGCGAGCAACCAGGCGAUCAGGUGGUCUCCGAUCGGAACCAACAGUAGCACAGAGAUAGCGCCACCAGUUGCCUCCCUCUCCGGCGAAAAUGAUAGCAACAUUAGCUACAUGCAGUGAGUAGCGAUUGCAAGCACCGGCAACAGCCAGCUCCAACGAGCAACAUCAGCAAACGCCGGAGAGCGAGGCGAAGAUAACAGCGAAGUUCAUGGACAGUCGCCUCCAGAUUGUAAGCCAUCACUUUUAUAAAUUGAUCUUCUUUUUUAGGGCUUGAUUUCUCUUGGAGACUUGAUGAACAAAAUUGCAGACAAUGACCUCUUUGAUUGGGUUGGACGGGCUAAGAUUAUUGAUUGCAUUUGCAAUUCCAUUUUAGUGGAUCCUCAAACUAGACAGAAAAAAUAUGAAUAAAUAUUACAGUAAAAAACAAUCUCUCAAUCCGAUAUUAAUCAAUGUGAAGAAUAUUACCAAGCCACCGAGGGAUAAAGAAGCGAAGAAUACGCGGUUUCGGAAAAUGGAUAUAUUUGUAAAGCAAAUGAUUCUUUAUAAUCAUUUUUCUUGUUAUUAUGAAGCGGGUACAACAACUAGUUACUCUCGAAUUCAUCACUUGUGACACCAUGGGGCCUCCUCUUGCUACUACUAAUGAGGACGAGGUUUAUCCCUUUGUUUCAAGUAUGAUGGUAUCCAUUAAUUAGUCAUCUAUACUUUAGUUUUUGAUGUUUUCUGUUUUUAUGAAAAGUAAAAACUGUGCAAUAACAAUAGUUGAGGAAUGUAUGUUCUCUUAAGAAUAGUAGAUAAAUUGUUUUUGA